rnacentral:rRNA from 1 species
UACGUAGGGUGCGAGCGUUGUCCGGAAUUAUUGGGCGUAAAGAGCUCGUAGGUGGUCUGUUGCGUCGGUUGUGAAAACCCGGGGCUUAACUCCGGGCCUGCAGUCGAUACGGGCAGACUAGAGUUCGGCAGGGGAGACUGGAAUUCCUGGUGUAGCGGUGAAAUGCGCAGAUAUCAGGAGGAACACCGGUGGCGAAGGCGGGUCUCUGGGCCGAUACUGACACUGAGGAGCGAAAGCGUGGGGAGCGAACAGG